GCUAUAGCUCAGUGGUAGAGCAUCUCCUCCACAUGCAGAAGGUCCUGGGUUCAAUCCCUUUCAUCUGCA